UACGUAGGUGGCGAGCGUUAUCCGGAAUUAUUGGGCGUAAAGGGUGCGUAGGCGGCACAUUAAGUCUAAGGUUAAAGUUCGAGGCUCAACUUCGGAUUGCCUUAGAAACUGGUGAGCUAGAGUGCAGGAGAGGGCAAUGGAAUUCCAUGUGUAGCGGUAAAAUGCGUAGAUAUAUGGAGGAACACCAGUGGCGAAGGCGGUUGCCUGGCCUGUAACUGACGCUGAGGCACGAAAGCGUCAGUUACAGGCC
rnacentral:rRNA from 1 species